rnacentral:misc_RNA from 1 species
GAUGAAGAACGUAGCGAAAUGCGAUAAGUAAUGUGAAUUGCAGAUUUCAGUGAAUCAUCGAAUCUUUGAACGCACCUUGCGCUCCUUGGUAUUCCGAGGAGCAUGCCUGUUUGAGUGUCAUUAAAUUCUCAACUCUCCAACUGUUGUCAUGACUGGUGGUAGAGCUUGGACGUGAGGGUUCUACCGGCUCCUUGUUGAGUCUGGCUCCCUUGAAAAUGAUUAGCGCAGCUUUGCACUGUCCGCUUCAGGUGUGAUAAUUUAUCUACGCCCGACUAGCGACGCGCAUGAAUGGCUUUGUGCUUCUAACCGUCUCGAAAGAGACAAUACCUUUUGAACUUGACCUCAAAUCAGGUAGGACUACCCGCUGAACUUAAGCAUAUCAAUAAGCGGAGGA